rnacentral:sRNA from 1 species
AAAAAAAACAAAGAGGGUUCUUUUGUCUAAUACAUUUCGGUUUCGACCGAAGUUUGUUAGGUAAACCCCUUUUUGCGUCCCGCGAACAAAUAAAUUUCGGUAAAUUAACUGAUGGAAGGAAACUUUUGUCGAUUGAUUUAUCUUGUUUCAAAAUGUUUUUUCAAUAAAACUCUGUAUGAAACCUCUUCUUAGGGGUUUCGUUCUUAAUUUUAUUGUUAAAGAACCUUUGAAACACAACCAUUUUUUGUCACUCUCUGUAAAAGGAGUAGUGAUUCUCUUGAUUGAGAAUUGAAAGUCGCAAAUGAUAAUCAACUUAUAACGUAAGCCUUUCCUAACCCUUCGAGGUGAAGAAAACGCUAAAACUACGCCUUGAGCGAAAUGUCUAACCACUUUCAGCAACGGAUGUCUUGGCUCCCACAACGAUGAAGAACGCAGCGAAAUGCGAUACGUCAUGCGAAUUGCAAAAUCCAGUGAGUCAUCAAAACUUUGAACGCAACUUGCACUUCCUUCGGGAAGUAUGUCUGUUGGAGUGUCUGUUCUAUCCCCACCAUGAUGCAAAUCUUGGAGUCGACUGUCUUUCGAGACACGUUCAGAUGUAAGAAAAUGGAAUGUACGAAUUUAUUCAUAUAUUGCAUUCUCAACGAAAAACUUGUGUUGUUUUUUAAUUUGCUCUCUGAAGUGCUUUAAAAAUCAAUCCUUGUAUGACGUAAUGACGGUUUCACCCUUUUUCUUCGGAUUUAGGAUUUCCCGACUGAAAGCAUGCAGUUUAAAGGAUUUGAUUAUAAUUUCGGAGUAUUCAAGCACCUUUCGAAUCAUCACAUGGAAUCGGAUCUCCAAUCAGA